rnacentral:tRNA from 1 species
GGAGUUGUGCCUGAAGUAUAGGACCACUUUGAUAGAGUGAACCAUGGGGGUUAAAGUCCCCCCAGCUCCU